UACAGAGGGGGCAAGCGUUGCUCGGAAUUACUGGGCGUAAAGAGCGUGUAGGCGGCUUGUUAAGUCUUGCGUGAAAUCUCGGGGCUCAACCCCGAGCGGUCGUGAGAAACUGGCAGGCUAGAGUGCGGGAGAGGAGAGUGGAAUUCCUGGUGUAGCGGUGAAAUGCGCAGAUAUCAGGAAGAACACCCGUGGCGAAGGCGGCUCUCUGGAACGCAACUGACGCUGAGACGCGAAAGCGUGGGGAGCAAACAGG
rnacentral:rRNA from 1 species